CCUGGCUCAGGAUGAACGCUAGCGACAGGCUUAACACAUGCAAGUCGAGGGGCAGCACAGGUAGCAAUACCGGGUGGCGACCGGCGCACGGGUGAGUAACGCGUAUGCAACUUGCCUAUCAGAGGGGGAUAACCCGGCGAAAGUCGGACUAAUACCGCAUGAAGCAGGGAUCCCGCAUGGGAAAUUUGCUAAAGAUUCAUCGCUGAUAGAUAGGCAUGCGUUCCAUUAGGCAGUUGGCGGGGUAACGGCCCACCAAACCGACGAUGGAUAGGGGUUCUGAGAGGAAGGUCCCCCACAUUGGUACUGAGACACGGACCAAACUCCUACGGGAGGCAGCAGUGAGGAAUAUUGGUCAAUGGCCGAGAGGCUGAACCAGCCAAGUCGCGUGAGGGAUGAAGGUUCUAUGGAUCGUAAACCUCUUUUAUAAGGGAAUAAAGUGCGGGACGUGUCCCGUUUUGUAUGUACCUUAUGAAUAAGGAUCGGCUAACUCCGUGCCAGCAGCCGCGGUAAUACGGAGGAUCCGAGCGUUAUCCGGAUUUAUUGGGUUUAAAGGGUGCGUAGGCGGCCUUUUAAGUCAGCGGUGAAAGUCUGUGGCUCAACCAUAGAAUUGCCGUUGAAACUGGGGGGCUUGAGUAUGUUUGAGGCAGGCGGAAUGCGUGGUGUAGCGGUGAAAUGCAUAGAUAUCACGCAGAACCCCGAUUGCGAAGGCAGCCUGCCAAGCCAUUACUGACGCUGAUGCACGAAAGCGUGGGGAUCAAACAGGAUUAGAUACCCUGGUAGUCCACGCAGUAAACGAUGAUCACUAGCUGUUUGCGAUACACUGUAAGCGGCACAGCGAAAGCGUUAAGUGAUCCACCUGGGGAGUACGCCGGCAACGGUGAAACUCAAAGGAAUUGACGGGGGCCCGCACAAGCGGAGGAACAUGUGGUUUAAUUCGAUGAUACGCGAGGAACCUUACCCGGGUUUGAACGCAUUCGGACCGAGGUGGAAACACCUUUUCUAGCAAUACCCGUUUGCGAGGUGCUGCAUGGUUGUCGUCAGCUCGUGCCGUGAGGUGUCGGCUUAAGUGCCAUAACGAGCGCAACCCUUGCCACUAGUUACUAACAGGUAAAGCUGAGGACUCUGGUGGGACUGCCAGCGUAAGCUGCGAGGAAGGCGGGGAUGACGUCAAAUCAGCACGGCCCUUACAUCCGGGGCGACACACGUGUUACAAUGGCGUGGACAAAGGGAGGCCACCUGGCGACAGGGAGCGAAUCCCCAAACCACGUCUCAGUUCGGAUCGGAGUCUGCAACCCGACCCCACGAAGCUGGAUUCGCUAGUAAUCGCGCAUCAGCCAUGGCGCGGUGAAUACGUUCCCGGGCCUUGUACACACCGCCCG
rnacentral:rRNA from 1 species